rnacentral:rRNA from 1 species
AGAGUUUGAUCCUGGCUCAGAUUGAACGCUGGCGGCAUGCUUUACACAUGCAAGUCGGACGGCAGCACAGGGAAGCUUGCUUCUCGGGUGGCGAGUGGCGAACGGGUGAGUAACAUAUCGGAACGUACCGGGUAGCGGGGGAUAACUGAUCGAAAGAUCAGCUAAUACCGCAUACGUCUUGAGAGGGAAAGCAGGGGACCUUCGGGCCUUGCGCUAUCCGAGCGGCCGAUAUCUGAUUAGCUGGUUGGCGGGGUAAAGGCCCACCAAGGCGACGAUCAGUAGCGGGUCUGAGAGGAUGAUCCGCCACACUGGGACUGAGACACGGCCCAGACUCCUACGGGAGGCAGCAGUGGGGAAUUUUGGACAAUGGGCGCAAGCCUGAUCCAGCCAUGCCGCGUGUCUGAAGAAGGCCUUCGGGUUGUAAAGGACUUUUGUCAGGGAAGAAAAGGCUGUUGCCAAUAUCGGCGGCCGAUGACGGUACCUGAAGAAUAAGCACCGGCUAACUACGUGCCAGCAGCCGCGGUAAUACGUAGGGUGCGAGCGUUAAUCGGAAUUACUGGGCGUAAAGCGGGCGCAGACGGUUACUUAAGCAGGAUGUGAAAUCCCCGGGCUCAACCCGGGAACUGCGUUCUGAACUGGGUGACUCGAGUGUGUCAGAGGGAGGUGGAAUUCCACGUGUAGCAGUGAAAUGCGUAGAGAUGUGGAGGAAUACCGAUGGCGAAGGCAGCCUCCUGGGAUAACACUGACGUUCAUGUCCGAAAGCGUGGGUAGCAAACAGGAUUAGAUACCCUGGUAGUCCACGCCCUAAACGAUGUCAAUUAGCUGUUGGGCAACUUGAUUGCUUGGUAGCGUAGCUAACGCGUGAAAUUGACCGCCUGGGGAGUACGGUCGCAAGAUUAAAACUCAAAGGAAUUGACGGGGACCCGCACAAGCGGUGGAUGAUGUGGAUUAAUUCGAUGCAACGCGAAGAACCUUACCUGGUUUUGACAUGUGCGGAAUCCUCCGGAGACGGAGGAGUGCCUUCGGGAGCCGUAACACAGGUGCUGCAUGGCUGUCGUCAGCUCGUGUCGUGAGAUGUUGGGUUAAGUCCCGCAACGAGCGCAACCCUUGUCAUUAGUUGCCAUCAUUCGGUUGGGCACUCUAAUGAGACUGCCGGUGACAAGCCGGAGGAAGGUGGGGAUGACGUCAAGUCCUCAUGGCCCUUAUGACCAGGGCUUCACACGUCAUACAAUGGUCGGUACAGAGGGUAGCCAAGCCGCGAGGCGGAGCCAAUCUCACAAAACCGAUCGUAGUCCGGAUUGCACUCUGCAACUCGAGUGCAUGAAGUCGGAAUCGCUAGUAAUCGCAGGUCAGCAUACUGCGGUGAAUACGUUCCCGGGUCUUGUACACACCGCCCGUCACACCAUGGGAGUGGGGGAUACCAGAAGUAGGUAGGGUAACCGCAAGGAGCCCGCUUACCACGGUAUGCUUCAUGACUGGGGUGAAGUCGUAACAAGGUAGCCGUAGGGGAACCUGCGGCUGGAUCACCU